GCCCGCGUAGCUCAGUUGGUCAGAGCGCCUGCCUUGUAAGCAGGAAGUCGAAGGUUCAAAUCCGUUCCGUGGGCACCA
rnacentral:tRNA from 2 species